UACGUAGGGUGCAAGCGUUGUCCGGAAUUAUUGGGCGUAAAGAGCUCGUAGGCGGUCUGUCGCGUCUGCUGUGAAAACUCGGGGCUUAACCCCGGGCCUGCAGUGGGUACGGGCAGACUAGAGUGCGGUAGGGGAGACUGGAAUUCCUGGUGUAGCGGUGAAAUGCGCAGAUAUCGGGAAGAACACCCGUGGCGAAGGCGGCUCUCUGGGACGGUACUGACGCUGAGACGCGAAAGCGUGGGGAGCAAACAGG
rnacentral:rRNA from 1 species